rnacentral:rRNA from 1 species
UACGUAGGGUGCGAGCGUUGUCCGGAAUUAUUGGGCGUAAAGGGCUCGUAGGCGGUUUGUCGCGUCGGGAGUGAAAACACCGGGCUUAACUCGGUGCUUGCUUCCGAUACGGGCAGACUAGAGGUAUGCAGGGGAGAACGGAAUUCCUGGUGUAGCGGUGAAAUGCGCAGAUAUCAGGAGGAACACCGGUGGCGAAGGCGGAUCUCUGGGCCAUUACUGACGCUGAGGAGCGAAAGCGUGGGGAGCGAACAGG